rnacentral:rRNA from 1 species
UACGUAGGGCGCAAGCGUUAUCCGGAAUUAUUGGGCGUAAAGAGCUCGUAGGCGGUUUGUCGCGUCUGCCGUGAAAGUCCGGGGCUCAACUCCGGAUCUGCGGUGGGUACGGGCAGACUAGAGUGAUGUAGGGGAGACUGGAAUUCCUGGUGUAGCGGUGAAAUGCGCAGAUAUCAGGAGGAACACCAGCGGCGAAGGCGGCGCUCUGGGCCGGUACUGACGCUGAGGAGCGAAAGCAUGGGGAGCGAACAGG